GGCUCAUUAAAUCAGUUAUCGUUUAUUUGAUAGUACCUUACUACAUGGAUAACCGUGGUAAUUCUAGAGCUAAUACAUGCUAAAAACCCCGACUUCGGGAGGGGUGUAUUUAUUAGAUAAAAAACCAACGCCCUUCGGGGCUUCUUGGUGAUUCAUAAUAACUUAACGAAUCGCAUGGCCUUGCGCCGGCGAUGGUUCAUUCAAAUUUCUGCCCUAUCAACUUUCGAUGGUAGGAUAGUGGCCUACCAUGGUAUCAACGGGUAACGGGGAAUUAGGGUUCUAUUCCGGAGAGGGAGCCUGAGAAACGGCUACCACAUCCAAGGAAGGCAGCAGGCGCGCAAAUUACCCAAUCCCGACGCGGGGAGGUAGUGACAAUAAAUACUGAUACAGGGCUCUUUUGGGUCUUGUAAUUGGAAUGAGUACAAUUUAAAUCCCUUAACGAGGAACAAUUGGAGGGCAAGUCUGGUGCCAGCAGCCGCGGUAAUUCCAGCUCCAAUAGCGUAUAUUAAAGUUGUUGCAGUUAAAAAGCUCGUAGUUGAACCUUGGGCCUGGCUGGCCGGUCCGCCUCACCGCGUGCACUGGUCCGGCCGGGCCUUUCCUUCUGGGGAGCCGCAUGCCCUUCACUGGGUGUGUCGGGGAACCAGGACUUUUACUUUGAAAAAAUUAGAGUGUUCAAAGCAGGCCUUUGCUCGAAUACAUUAGCAUGGAAUAAUAGAAUAGGACGUGCGGUCCUAUUUUGUUGGUUUCUAGGACCGCCGUAAUGAUUAAUAGGGAUAGUCGGGGGCAUCAGUAUUCAAUUGUCAGAGGUGAAAUUCUUGGAUUUAUUGAAGACUAACUACUGCGAAAGCAUUUGCCAAGGAUGUUUUCAUUAAUCAGUGAACGAAAGUUAGGGGAUCGAAGACGAUCAGAUACCGUCGUAGUCUUAACCGUAAACUAUGCCGACUAGGGAUCGGGCGAUGUUAUCAUUUUGACUCGCUCGGCACCUUACGAGAAAUCAAAGUCU
rnacentral:rRNA from 1 species